rnacentral:rRNA from 1 species
CCUACGGGAGGCAGCAGUGAGGAAUAUUGGUCAAUGGACGCAACUCUGAACCAGCCACGCCGCGUGCAGGAAGAAGGCUCUAUGAGUUGUAAACUGCUUUUGUACGAGGGAAAAUCCCGAUACGUGUAUCGGAUUGAAAGUAUCGUACGAAUAAGGAUCGGCCAACUCCGUGCCAGCAGCCGCGGUAAUACGGAGGAUUCAAGCGUUAUCCGGAUUUAUUGGGGUUAAAGGGUGCGUAGGCGGUUCGAUAAGUUAGAGGUGAAGUCCCGGGGCUCAACUCCGGGACUGCCUCUGAUACUGUCGGGCUAGAGUGUAGUUGCGGUAGGCGGAAUGUAUGGUGUAGCGGUGAAAUGCGUAGAGAUCAGGCAGAACACCGAUUGCGAAGGCAGCUUACCAAACUGCAACUGACGUUGAGGCACGAAAGCGUGGGGAGCAAACAGGAUUAGAUACCCCAGUAGUC